rnacentral:lncRNA from 1 species
GUGCAAGACAUGGAAACAACCCAAAUGUCCAUCGACAGAAGAGUGGAUCCAGAAGAGGAGGCAGAGCCACAGAUGGAAGGAGUCUGGAUCCCUGAGUCAAUGCUUAGAAGAAGUCCACCUGGGAGAGCUGCCCAGUCAAUAUCAGGAUAAAAGAUGGCUGGACAGCAGAGGAUGGACUUGUGCCUGUGAAAUGGAGGCUUUGAAACCUUGGAAUGUAACCUGGAGCAGAAAUGCACGGUCGUGAAGUGGAGCAGGGCCAUGAGUGGCAGUGGUGCUGCUGGUGACCAUGUCUGCUUUUCUCCUUCUUUCACCAUUUGAUUAGUGGAAGCUCCUCUUGUCUUUGGACAGUAAGGGGUGUGUAUUGUGAAACUGAGAGUGGGGCAGUGUGGUGGGGGCGAAGCGGUGCGUGAGAGGACGUUCUGGACUUGAAGGGUGUACGGAACUUGGAACAAUUAAGUUUUAAAAAAAGUUGUCACUGUAUUUUCACUCAAAAUAGUUUGCAAGAGGUCGAAUAGACCAAACUGGCCUUCACUAUAUCUAAAUGAAGAAUGAGAGGGGAAUCUAGCCCCUAAAUAGAUAUAUUAAAGGAGUAUAGGAUUUGUAGCUGGGAUGAAAUGGAAAAUUUCAUGGGCACAGAAUUUUGGGCUGUGUUUUGAGCUUGGUCUGGCCUGAACAUGUGACCAAGAUGAAUAAUACAUUAGCAGAACAAUGAGGUCUAUUCACAUAUAGUUCCAAGCUAGUUUUGAGUUCUGCUGAAACAGAAGUCAACUGUCAUCAGUGUAGAACCGACUUAAAGGAGGACAACAAUUCAUUUAAAACAGGUUCUUCAAAACUGGUUAAUAUACAGACCUCUUUUAAGGGAAAAUAUUUUACAGAUUUCCACCAGUGACUUAAAUUAUUUUUAUUAUAGUAUGGUCUUUCCCUCUUUCUUUUCUUCUCUUUUUUUGUGCUUGGGGCUCAUUGAGAUUCCUAAAUCUUAUUUCUUUUUUUUUUUUUUAAUCAAAUUUGGAAAAAUUUCAACCAUUGUCUUUUAAAUAUUUUUUUUCUGUUUCCAAAUAUAUAAUAAUAUAUAUAAUUAGGUUGCUUGAAGUUCCACAGCUCACCGAUACUCUGUUUAUUUUUUUCAAUUGUCCCUCUUUCUCAGGGAUUAGCGUCCUGCAUAACCUACUGUCCAAUGUCUGGAAAUCAUUGCUUUUAAUUUUUAUUUAAUUUUAUUCAUUUUUUAUUACUCAAUAAAUUUAUUACAUUUAUAGUUGUAUGAUGAUCAUCACAAUCCAGUUUUAUGGCAUUUCCAUCCCAUACCCCCAGCGGAUCCCCCUAACCCCCAGCCUCUCUCCUUUGGAAACCCUAAGUUUUUCAAAGUCUGUGAGUUAGUAUCUGUUCUGCAAAGAAGUUCAUUGUGUCCCUUUUUCAGAUUGCACAUGUAAGUGUUAGCAUUUGAUGUUGGUGUCUCAUUGUCUAACUGACUUAACAUGAUAAUUUCUAGGUCCAUCCAUGUUGCUAAAAAUGCCGUUGUUUUAUUCCUUUUAAUGGCUGAGUAAUAUUCCAUUGUAUAUAUGUACCACAUCUUCUUCAUCCACUCCUCUGUCAAUGGACAUUUAGGUUAUUUCCAUCUCUUGGCUAUUGCAAAUAGUGCUGCAAAAUCAUUGCUUUUUAGUAAUUUCUAGCAGGAGGGUCGUGGUCCUGGCUAAUCCGUCAUGGCUGGAAGGUGAACCAUCAGGAAUAACUUUCAAACCUCUCUCAGAAGCGUAAGGAAAUAUGUUUCUCCCAGAAACCUUCAGGAAAUAUCUCCUUACAUUUCAUUCAUCAUUAAUGGUCAUGUGUUCAGCAUGAAGCCAUAACUUUUGCAAGAAGAUCGGAUUGCAGUUUUUAAGAUGGGCUUGAACCACAUGCCCCACUGCUAGAACCAGUGGUAUAGCUAACUUCUCUCUACAUCAGAGUUUCUCACCCUGAGAUCAUGGCAUUUUGCAUCUGAUAAUUCUUUGAUGUGAGAGGCUGUCCUGUGUAUUGUAAGAUGUUUAACAGCAUCCCUGGCCUUUACUCACAAGUUGGCAGAAGCACCUCUAUCCCCAUUGAGAAAACUGAAAAUAUCUUCAGAUGUCCCAAGAGUGGGGGUUAGAACUCCUGCUCUAACUAUAGAGACUCCACAAGGAGACAUGAAUCCAAAUGAAGUGUGGAGUAAUUACCAAGAGAAGGCGGGGCAACAGCAGAGUCCAUCAUAUAAUUUAUAAAAGACAAGCAUCCUAUAGCAUAUGAGCAUCAUUAAUUUUUUUCUUUUUAAAUGAUUUUUAUUUUUUCCAUUAUAACUGAUUUACAGUGUUCGUCAAUUUUUUACUUUAUAGCAAGGUGACCCAGUCACACAUACAUAUAUACAUUCUUAAAAAUUUUUAAUGCAAUUUUAAAGGUUAUCGUCUGUUUAGUUAUUAUGAAGUAUCAGCUGUGUUUCUCAUGUUGUACAGUACAUCCUUGUAGCUUACCUUACACCCAGUAGUUUGUACCUCCCACUCUUCAAGUCUAUGUUGCCCUUCUCCCUCCCUACUGGUAACCACUAGUUUGUUCCCUAUAUUUGUGAGUCUGACAAGCAUCAUAUUUUAUAACAUAAUAGAUUUACCAGUUAUUUGGAUAUGUAUUGGGGUAAUGUGUAAUCCUUAGGCAGUAAUAAUAAGCAAGUUGCAGAGAAGUCAAAUUAGGUGGAGGUACAAAGGCACACACACAAAGGCACAAAGUAUAAAACCCUAUAGUACAUAGUAUGCAUGUACUAUUAUUUGUACACCAUUAGAUCAAAUCUGUACAUUGUUUUUUUCUUACAAGAUUAAGUUCACUACUGUCUAAUACCAGCAACUGGUCUCAGUUGGCUUCCUGCUUGGUUUAGGUAGAUGGUAGUUAACAGAGCACCUGUUAAGUUUAGGCGGGUUGAAAGGCCACUUUGAGGAACUGCAUUAUUUUUAGUGUCACAUUGUGCUUAAAUGGCAUUGGGGUUCUUCUAGGUACAAAUACAAAUAUGUGGCAGGGACUGUGAGAAGAUGCAGUGUGGAAGGGAGGCUCUGCCCACCUUCCUUCUCUCAGAUGUUAGACUCACUGUGGAUGAGUAAAGGCUAAGGUGCUGGUCAUCUUCUAAAGUAUGAUUGCUGAGGCUUUUAAGCUUCAGUGGAGAUAGCAUUAGGAUCUACCUAUUCUUUUCCUUUAAGCUUUUGUCUUUUUAAUAAAAUUAUGAUUUGCAGAGCACUUAUUUUAGAAAAAUCACUCUUUUAAAUUUUUUAUUUAUAUUGAGAUAUAGUUGAAAUGAUAUUGUCAUUUUUUUCAUCUUUUAAAGUUUUAUUGGAGUAUAGUUGAUUUAAAAAAUUGCGAUAAAUUUCUCUUGUGCAAUAAAGUGAUUCAUUUACACAUGUA